UCUCUGGUGGUCCAGUAGUUAAGACUCUGCACUUCCACUGCAGGGGGCACAAGUUCAAUCCCUGGUCAGGGAG
rfam:TPA: Bos taurus chromosome X, whole genome shotgun sequence.